GAUGAACGCUGGCGGCGUGCCUAAUACAUGCAAGUCGAGCGAACAGACGAGGAGCUUGCUCCUCUGACGUUAGCGGCGGACGGGUGAGUAACACGUGGAUAACCUACCUAUAAGACUGGGAUAACUUCGGGAAACCGGAGCUAAUACCGGAUAAGAUAUUGAACCGCAUGGUUCAAUAGUGAAAGACGGUGUUGCUGUCACUUAUAGAUGGAUCCGCGCCGCAUUAGCUAGUUGGUAAGGUAACGGCUUACCAAGGCAACGAUGCGUAGCCGACCUGAGAGAGGGAUCGGCCACCCUGGAACUGAGACACGGUCCAGGCUCCUACGGGAGGCAGCAGUAGGGAAUCUUCCGCAAUGGGCGAAAGCAUGACGGAGCAACGCCGCGUGAGUGAUGAAGGUCUUCGGAUCGUAAAACUCUGUUAUUAGGGAAGAACAAAUGUGUAAGUAACUAUGCACGUCUUGACGGUACCUAAUCAGAAAGCCACGGCUAACUACGUG
rnacentral:rRNA from 1 species